rnacentral:rRNA from 1 species
AUUAGAUACCCUGGGUAGUCCACGCCGUAAACGAUGAUUACUAGGUGUAGGUGGGUAUGGACCCAUCGGUGCCGCAGCCAACGCAGUAAGUAAUCCACCUGGGGAGUACGUUCGCAAGAAUGAAACUCAAAGGAAUUGACGGGGACCCGCACAAGCGGUGGAGCAUGUGGUUUAAUCCGAAGCAACGCGAAGAACCUUACCAAGUCUUGACAUCUGGAUGACGAAUCCGUAACGGGAUUUUCUCUUCGGAGCAUCCAAGACAGGUGGUGCAUGGUUGUCGUCAGCUCGUGUCGUGAGAUGUUGGGUUAAGUCCCGCAACGAGCGCAACCCUUAUCUUUAGUAGCCAGCGGUCAGGCCGGGCACUCUAGAGAGACUGCCGGGGAUAACCCGGAGGAAGGUGGGGAUGACGUCAAAUCAUCAUGCCCCUUAUGAUUUGGGCUACACACGUGCUACAAUGGCGUAAACAGAGGGAAGCGAGCCUGCGAGGGGGAGCGAAUCCCAAAAAUAACGUCCCAGUUCGGACUGUAGUCUGCAACCCGACUACAUGAAGCUGGAAUCGCUAGUAAUCGCGGAUCAGAAUGCCGCGGUGAAUACGUUCCCGGGUCUUGUACACACCGCCCGUCACACCAUGGGAGUCGGAAAUGCCCGAAGUCUGUGACCCAACCUUAGGGAGGGAGCAGCCGAAGGCAGGUCGGAUGACUGGGGUGAAGUCGUAACAAGGUACC